rfam:Echinostoma caproni strain Egypt genome assembly, scaffold: ECPE_scaffold0015475
GGCCUCGUAGCUCACCUGGUAGAGCAUGCGCGUACAAAGCGUGAGCGGCAUCCAUGCGUGGGUUCGAAUCCCACCGAGGCUA